UACGUAGGGUGCAAGCGUUGUCCGGAAUUAUCGGGCGUAAAGAGCUCGUAGGCGGUCUGUCGCGUCGGCUGUGAAAUCCCGGGGCUCAACCCCGGGCCUGCAGUCGAUACGGGCAGACUAGAGUGCGGUAGGGGAGACUGGAAUUCCUGGUGUAGCGGUGAAAUGCGCAGAUAUCAGGAGGAACACCGGUGGCGAAGGCGGGUCUCUGGGCCGUAACUGACGCUGAGGAGCGAAAGCGUGGGGAGCAAACAGG
rnacentral:rRNA from 1 species